AUACCAUAUCUCUUAGAUAAAGAUGUCCACAUGCUGAAAAUCCACCUUAAAAUACGCAGCUCGCAAUCAGAAAACUCAAACAAACCUUCAAACAUCGUGUAUGAUAUCACCUAGAAUCAAUUAUGCCCCUUUGUUACUUGCAGUCGCGAAUAAACAUCUUUCGAGCAAAAAAAGUGAAGCAUAUCAAAAAAAUACACUGAGUCUGAACAAGGUCAGAUAGUGCGUAAUAAAAUAAUAAAAAAUAUACAAUAUUUUAAUUGAGAAUGAUCGUACUCCAUAGUGGGAAAACAUUGCUGGUGAGAAAAAAUAGUAAUAAAACUUAGAAAGGUAUCUUUGAUUUAUUUACCAUCGUCAUCACCUUUACUACCGGCAUUGCCGGCACCAAUGUGUAAAAAACUAAUUUUCGUUACUUACCUGAGAGCGAAAUUUCAAUGCCAAUGGCAUCAUGUUGAAGAUCUCAUCUCAUCGUGUUCAAUGUUUGUUGAUGAUUUUUUUUUCUUGUGUUUAUAUAUUUUUUUUUUGUUGUUAUUAUUAUAAAAAGCAUGAAAUAAGUUGAAGAUAAUCUAUCUGCAGAUAAACAAUUCUUUUAACCGUAUAAAGAAAGAUUUAUUUAAAAAAAAUAAAGAUUUAUUUAAAAAAAGAUAUUAAGCAAAAUAUCUUUGUGCUGAUGAAUCUGUUUGAGUUGAAUAAAGUACAAAAAGGUGCUAAAUACGCGGAUAUUUACAGAAAAAAUUGAUGCGUGAA